GAAAUACUCCCUCCGUCCGAAAAUACUUGUCGGAGAAAUGGAUAAAAAUAUAUCCAUUUCUCCGACAAGUAUUUCCGGACGGAGGGAGUAUUAC
rnacentral:pre_miRNA from 1 species